rnacentral:rRNA from 1 species
GACGAACGCUGGCGGCGUGCCUAAUACAUGCAAGUCGAGCGGAUCUCUUCGGAGGUCAGCGGCGGACGGGUGAGUAACACGUGGGCAACCUGCCUGUAAGAUCGGGAUAACUUCGGGAAACCGGAGCUAAUACCGGAUAAUCCUUUCCGACUCAUGUCGGGAAGCUGAAAGACGGCAUCUCGCUGUCACUUACAGAUGGGCCCGCGGCGCAUUAGCUAGUUGGUAGGGUAACGGCCUACCAAGGCGACGAUGCGUAGCCGACCUGAGAGGGUGAUCGGCCACACUGGGACUGAGACACGGCCCAGACUCCUACGGGAGGCAGCAGUAGGGAAUCUUCCGCAAUGGACGAAAGUCUGACGGAGCAACGCCGCGUGAGCGAAGAAGGCCUUCGGGUCGUAAAGCUCUGUUGUCAGGGAAGAACAAGUACCGGAGUAACUGCCGGUACCUUGACGGUACCUGACCAGAAAGCCACGGCUAACUACGUGCCAGCCGCCGCCGUAAGAC